rnacentral:rRNA from 1 species
AGUGAACGCUGGCGGUAGGCCUAACACAUGCAAGUCGAACGGCAGCACAGUAAGAGCUUGCUCUUACGGGUGGCGAGUGGCGGACGGGUGAGGAAUACAUCGGAAUCUACUUUUUCGUGGGGGAUAACGUAGGGAAACUUACGCUAAUACCGCAUACGACCUACGGGUGAAAGCAUGGGAUCUUCUGACCUUGCGCGAUUGAAUGAGCCGAUGUCGGAUUAGCUAGUUGGCGGGGUAAAGGCCCACCAAGGCGACGAUCCGUAGCUGGUCUGAGAGGAUGAUCAGCCACACUGGAACUGAGACACGGUCAAGACUCCUACGAGAGGCAGCAGUGGGGAAUAUUGGACAAUGGGCGCAAGCCUGAUCCAGCAAUACCGCGUGGGUGAAGAAGGCCUUCGGGUUGUAAAGCCCUUUUGUUGGGAAAGAAAAGCAGCAGGUUAAUACCCCGCUGUUAUGACGGUACCCAAAGAAUAAGCACCGGCUAACUUCGUG